CCGAGGCAUGGUGGAGCACACCAGUCCCAGCUACUCGGCAGGCUGAGGCAGGAGAAUCGCUUGAACCCGGGAGGCAGAGGUUGCAGUGAGCCAAGAUUGCACCACUGCACUCCAGCCUAAGCUAGAAGAGCAAAACUGUCUCAACAACAACAACAAAAAAACUUCUGUGCUUUAAAGGACACUAUCAGGAAAGCGGGAGACAGCCCGCAUAAUGGGAGGAAAUCUCUGUAAAUCGUAUCAGAUAAGGGACUACAGUCUAGAACAUAUAAGAAAACUCUUACAAGAAAGAAAGUUGUUAAUGGCACAGGAUGGGAAAGAAGGUAUACAAAUGGCCAAUAAACACAGGAGACACCACUCGGCAUUAUCAGUUGUUAAGGAAAUGCAAAUCCAAACCACCACAGAUGCGGCAGCAUCCACUAGGCUAAAAUCAAAAGGACAGAAACUGAGCAAGUGUUGGUGAAGCUGUGGAGAAAUGAGAACCAUCCAGCGCUACUGGGAAUGGAGGGUGGUGUGGCCGCUGUGGAAUAGAGUCUGGCAGUUCUUCAAAGUGUUAAACACAGUUACCAUCUAACCCAGUAAUUCCACGCCUCUGUACGUACCCAGGAGGAAAGAAAACAUGUAUUUAUAGAAACUUGGACACAAAUGGAGAUGGGCGUGGUGGUGCGUGCCUGUAGUCCCAGCUACCCAGGAGUCUAAGGUGGAAAGAUCACUUGAGCCCCGUAGUUCAAGACUAGCCUGGGCAAGUUAGUGAAACUCCAUCUCUACGAAAAUUUUUAAGUAUUAGCCAGGUGUGGUAGCGCACGCCUGUGGUCCCAGCUGUUCGGGAGGCUGAGGUGGGAGGAUCACUUGAGCCCAGGAGGUGGAGGCUGCAGUGGGCUGAAAUUGUACCACUGCACUCCAGCCUGGGCAACAGAGUGAGACCCUGUCUCAAUAAACAAAGAAGCAAAAUGAAAAUGUAGGGCCGGGUGCGGCGGCUCACACCUGUAAUCCCAGCAUUUUGGGAGCCUGAAGCGGGAGAAUACUGAGGUUAGAAGUUCAAGACCAGCCUGACCAACGUGGUGAAACCUUGUCUCUACUAAAAAUACAAAAAAUUAGCCGAGUGUGGUAGUAGGCACCUGUAACCCCAGCUAAGGUUGAGGCAGGAGAAUCGCUUGAACCCGGGAGGUGGAGGUUGCAGUGAGCUGAGAUCGCAUCACUGCAGUUUAGCCUGGGUGACAGUGCGAGACUCCGUCUCCAAAAAAAAAAAAAAGAAAAGAAAUGUAGCAUUUAGGAGCACAUACUGAGGUGGUAAAACAAAAAAGGGGAAACAGUCCCCAUAAAGUCAGAAGGGUGUGGGUUGGGAAACCUGUAACUGGGAGGUGGCACCAGUGGCUUCUGGAAGCUUCUGGAACACUGGUUCUGCUCCCCACUAUGGCCUGAGCGUCUGCCUUAUCAUCAAUCACUUGGCUCUCCAUAUUUUCUUUUUUUUUUUUUUUUUUUUUUUUUGAGACGAAGUUUUGCUCUUUUUGCCCAGGCUGGAGUGCAGUGGUACGAUCUCCAACCUCUGCCUCCCGGGAGGUAUGAUCACUGCAAUCUCUGCCUCCCGGGUUCAAGCGAUUCUCUUUUCUCAGCCUCCCAAGUAGCUGGCAUUACAGGCAUGCGCCACCAUGC
rnacentral:lncRNA from 10 species